rnacentral:rRNA from 1 species
UGGUCAAGUUAUUAAGGGUGCAGGGCGGAUGCCUUGGCACUAGGAGCCGAUGAAGGACGUGAUAAGCUG